rnacentral:rRNA from 1 species
GAUGAACGCUGGCGGCGUGCCUAAUACAUGCAAGUCGAGCGAACGGACGAGAAGCUUGCUUCUCUGAUGUUAGCGGUGGACGGGUGAGUAACACGUGGAUACCCUACCUAUAAGACUGGGAUAACUUAGGGAAACCGUAGCUAAUACCGGAUAAUAUUUUGAACCGCAUGGUUCAAAAGUGAAAGACGGUCUUGCUGACACUUAUAGAUGGAUCCGCGCUGCAUUAGCUAGUUGGUAAGGUAACGGCUUACCAAGGCAACGAUGCAUGGCCGACCUGAGAGGGUGAUCGGCCACACUGGAACUGAGACACGGUCCAGACUCCUACGGGAGGCAGCAGUAGGGAAUCUUCCGCAAUGGGCGAAAGCCUGACGGAGCAACGCCGCGUGAGUGAUGAAGGUCUUCGGAUCGUAAAACUCUGUUAUUAGGGAAGAACAUAUGUGUAAGUAACUGUGCACAUCUUGACGGUACCUAAUCAGAAAGCCACGGCUAACUACGUG